rnacentral:rRNA from 1 species
UACGGGGGGGGGCAAGCGUUGUUCGGAAUUACUGGGCGUAAAGGGUUCGUAGGUGGCCAACUAAGUCAGACGUGAAAUCCCUCAGCUCAACUGGGGAACUGCGUCUGAUACUGGUCGGCUUGAGUGCAGGAGAGGAACGCGGAAUUCCAGGUGUAGCGGUGAAAUGCGUAGAUAUCUGGAGGAACACCGGUGGCGAAGGCGGCGUUCUGGACUGCAACUGACACUGAGGAACGAAAGCCAGGGGAGCAAACGGG